rnacentral:rRNA from 1 species
AUUGAACGCUGGCGGCAGGCCUAACACAUGCAAGUCGAACGAGUGGCGGACGGGUGAGUAAUGUCUGGGAAACUGCCUGCUGGCUGGGGAUAACUACUGGAAACGGUAGCUAAUACCGCAUACCAUCGGAUGUUCCCAGAUGGGAUUAGCUAGUAGGUGGGGUAAAGGCUCACCUAGGCCACGAUCCCUAGCUGGUCUGAGAGGAUGACCAGCCACACUGGAACUGAGACACGGUCCAGACGCCUACGGGAGGCAGCAGUGGGGAAUAUUGCACAAUGGGCGCAAGCCUGAUGCAGCCAUGCCGCGUGUAUGAAGAAGGCCUUCGGGUUGUAAAGUACUUUCAGCGGGGAGGCGUUACCCGCAGAAGAAGCACCGGCUAACUCCGUGCCAGCCGCCGCGGUAAUAC